rnacentral:rRNA from 1 species
CAGCAGCCACGGUAAAACGAAGGGUGCAAGCGUUACUCGGAAUUACUGGGCGUAAAGCGUGCGUAGGUGGUGGUUUAAGUCCGUUGUGAAAGCCCUGGGCUCAACCUGGGAAUUGCAGUGGAUACUGGGUCACUAGAGUGUGGUAGAGGAUAGUGGAAUUUCCGGUGUAGCGGUGAAAUGCGUAGAGAUCUGGAGGAAUACCGGUGGCGAAGGCGGCCCCCUGGACAAAGACUGACGCUCAGGUGCGAAAGCGUGGGGAGCAAACAGGAUUAGAUACCCCCGUAGUCCCUGUCUCUUAUAC